rnacentral:rRNA from 1 species
GACGAACGCUGGCGGCGUGCUUAACACAUGCAAGUCGAGCGGUAAGGCCCUUUCGGGGUACGACGAGCGGCGAACGGGUGAGUAACACGUGGGUGACCUGCCCUCAGCUCUGGGAUAAGCCUGGGAAACCGGGUCUAAUACCGGAUAUGACUCCAUGACGCAUGUUGUGGGGUGGAAAGCCUUGUGCGGCUGAGGAUGGGCCCGCGGCCUAUCAGCUUGUUGGUGGGGUGAUGGCCUACCAAGGCGACGACGGGUAGCCGGCCUGAGAGGGCGACCGGCCACACUGGGACUGAGACACGGCCCAGACUCCUACGGGAGGGCAGCAGUGGGGAAUCUUGCGCAAUGGGCGAAAGCCUGACGCAGCGACGCCGCGUGAGGGAUGAC